ACCUUAUACACUUAGGGUACAUAAGGUUUUCACAAAAACUGGUCGGGGUCCUUGGCUAAGAGGAGACUCUGUCUUGGGCCCGCUGGUGUAAAAAACUGCACUCCACUAUCUGCUUUGUCCUUCUGAGUGAGUUUGUUUCCCGGAACCCAUGGCUACAAAAAUACUGAGUCCACAUUCAAAUGAACCCAGUUAUUUCCCAAAUGAGUUUAUAGAUGUUUAUUUCUUAAAUCAGGACCCAGUAAGAUUUACAUGUUGCAUUUUUUUCAGUCUCUGGUAGUCUAGAACAGCUACACAUGGUGAGGUUUGGGACCGCAGCAUCAGAGCACCUGGAACCUGUUAGAGAUGCAGCUUCUUUGGCCCUGCUCCUGACCUCCUGUCUCCAAACUCUGGGGGUGGAGCCUGGGAAUCUGUGUUUCAGCCAGCCAUGUGAUUCUUAUUCAUGCACAAGUUUGCGAAUCACUGAUAGACCAGGCCAACUUUUCUUCCCCCUAGUUCCUUGUCCUUCACCAUCUCCUGGAGAUUGCUCAAACUCGUGUCCAUCAAGUCGGUGAUGCCAUCCAACCAUCUUGUCCUCUGUUGUCCCCUUCUCUUCCUUCAAUCUUUCCCAGCAUCAGGGUCUUUUCCAUUCAGUCGGCUCUUCGCAUCAGGUGGCCAAAGUAUUAGAGUGUAGGAAUUUAGAACCAGAAAAUUGCCCCUUUGACCUGGCAGGACGAUGACUUUUAUCACCUGGAGGAUGCCUGAGUUCAGCAGUGAUACUGAGUGGCAGACAGAAGCAACAGCGCAGAAAACCAGGGCCCCCUAGUGAUACUACGACGAGGGAGAGACUCUCAAACAGGAUCUUAAGAGAGAGAGAGAGAAAGAGGGCGCACGCGAGGGG
ensembl:lncRNA